rnacentral:rRNA from 1 species
CUGCGGAGGGAUCAUUACACAAUAUGAAAGCGGGUUGGGACCUCACCUUGGUGAGGGCUCCAGCUUGUCUGAAUUAUUCACCCAUGUCUUUUGCGCACUUCUUGUUUCCUGGGCGGGUUCGCCCGCCACCAGGACCCAACCAUAAACCUUUUUGUAAUUGCAAUCAGCGUCAGUAAACAAUGUAAUUAUUACAACUUUCAACAACGGAUCUCUUGGUUCUGGCAUCGAUGAAGAACGCAGCGAAAUGCGAUACGUAGUGUGAAUUGCAGAAUUCAGUGAAUCAUCGAAUCUUUGAACGCACAUUGCGCCCUUUGGUAUUCCAAAGGGCAUGCCUGUUCGAGCGUCAUUUGUACCCUCAAGCUUUGCUUGGUGUUGGGCGUCUUGUCUCUCGCGAGACUCGCCUUAAAAUGAUUGGCAGCCGACCUACUGGUUUCGGAGCGCAGCACAAUUCUUGCACUUUGAAUCAGCCCUGGUUGAGCAUCCAUCAAGACCACAUUUUUUAACUUUUGACCUCGGAUCAGGUAGGGAUACCCGCUGAACUUAAGCAUAUCAAUAAGCGGAGGAAAAGAAACCAACAGGGAUUGCCCUAGUAACGGCGAGUGAAGCGGCAACAGCUCAAAUUUGAAAUCUGGCUCUUUUAGGGUCCGAGUUGUAAUUUGCAGAGGGCGCUUUGGCUUUGGCAGCGGUCCAAGUUCCUUGGAACAGGACGUCACAGAGGGUGAGAAUCCCGUACGUGGUCGCUAGCUAUUGCCGUGUAAAGCCCCUUCGACGAGUCGAGUUGUU